rnacentral:lncRNA from 1 species
CAAGUAAGGUACAGAUUCAAUGCAAUCCCUAUCAAAGUAUCAAUGACAUUCUUCACAGAAAUAAAAAAAAAUACUUUAAAAAUGUAUAUGGAGACACAAAGGACCCAGAAUAGCCAAAGCUAUCCUAAGCAUACAGAAUGAAACUGAAAGAAUCACAUUGCCUGACUUCAAAAUAUACUACAGAGCUAUAUUUAAAAAAACAGCAUAAUACUGCCACAGAAUCAGACACAUAGA